GGAUUUCCUAGGAGGAGACACUGGGUCUAAAUGACCUGCCCCAUCGCUGUGUUCCUGCGCUGGAAGCUGGGGUGAAGGCCAGGCCUCUGCUGAUCUGUUCGCGUCUUUCCUCUUCCUGCUGCAUCCCUGGUGGCAUCUGGCCCAGGAUGACCUUCCUGAAGAUGCUUCUCCCUACAGCUGUUUCUUCUGCUUCUCAAGCAGCUGUAUCGGAACCGAGAGCACCUCCUCACCGGCACCUUAAGUCAACAGUCACGGAUACGCUGGAAGACUGAUGUGUUACGCACUGAUAUGGGAUGCCAGCCCUGUGAUGUCUGAGAUGUGGGUGUGUUUUUCAGGCGUGGAUUUCCAGCACCAGUGGCAUACAACAUGCAUGGGGGGAAGAGGGCAUGGGGCAGUGGAUGAAUUCUAGCAGCCUCACGUCUCUAUGGUGUCUCUCAUUAGUCAAAUCUACCCAGAAACCAGGGCAUUUCCUGGUGCACAGGAAGAGAGAGACUGGAUUGGGGGUGGGGUCGGGGGCAGAGAAAAUACCCAGUGCAGGUCGAAGGAGCGUACAGGGACAUCAAGAGGAACAGCAUCUUCUUCAAUCGGGCUCCGUUUGUAACUGGUGGUUAACUACUUGAUGCUUUCAACAGCCUAAGAACACUUGGAGGGGUGAGCAGAUGGUCUAGACCUGAGAUAUGCUAGAAUCUUCAUAAUGUAACUUUCAAAAGGAAGAAGUAAAUAUAAUACUUUUUGUUCAAAUCACUCGACUGUGCUAAGAUGUUUAAUAUGUCUCUGUUAACCAAUGAAACUUGUCUUGUGUCCUCACCUGGCCUAACAGUAAUGAGUCUGCCUCUUUAUAGUCAACCCAGCCUACAGGUCUCCCCUGGAUCCCUUUCAAAAUCUGUUAUAAGCACCUCAUUGAGUCUGAACCUGUCCUAGAAAUUAGUUAAGCCUUAUUUUCAUUUUAAGUUGUGUCAAAUAUUCCAUGUCAACGUUACCCUCCCUUUAAUAAUAAUUCUCCAUCCACUCCUUCUGGCUUCAUGAAUGUGCCCCUAUCCAGAAACAUAUAGUUAAUGAAUAUGAGCAUUUUUCAACCUUGGGACUAUGACAUUUUGAGCCAGAUCAUUCUUUAUUGGGAGAGGGGCGCUGGCCUGUACAUUGUAGUUGUUUAGCAGCAUCCCUGACCUCGACCCAGGAAAUGCCAGUAGCAUGGCCACCGCUGUGACAAGCAAAAAUCCCUUCGUGUAUUGCCAGAUGUGCCCUACAGGGUAAACCGUCCUUGCUUGGAAACCACCACUCUAUAUUCUGGAGAAAGAAAACCCACAGCCCAGAUUCAUCUGGCUGCACCCAACCUCUUCCAGCUGCUUUGCAACCAUCAUAAAGUGUUUAAAGGGGAGAAAUUAAUUGAACCCUGUUUUGUUUUGUCAGCCAGAAAGAGAAAAACCCACACCCAGGUGCUUGCUUAAGACCAAAAAAUAAAUUAUGUACACCAAACCCCCCAAACUCUAAAAUAAGGCUUUAUGAGGUGUCAGACUGUGAACGGACUUUCCCUCGCUACAAUCCCCACCAAAUGGCUUUCUGUAGCUUGUACCUCAGAUGUUGAGUCUGAAGGAGUCAAGGAAGAACUGAACCCUCCCCAGCCUUGAACCAAAGCCUAAAGAGCCCAUCACCUGGCUGUGGAGUCUGCGCACAGACCGAUCCUCGGCCGCAGGGAGGAAGUGAGGGCCUUCAAGGGAUUCUUUUGAAGGUGAAUGUAGUACAAGGACAUUGGUGUUUGCAAAGCCUUAUGAAGUUUCCCCCCCUCCAAGGGCACUGUUCCAGUUUAUCUCUGUGCUGUGGGCGAGCUUCCUACCUACAGUCCUGGAGAUAGCUCAGUUCCAAAACGUCUUAUUUACAAGAGUUUAAUUGGACAAAAUACCCUGGAACAGACCUCAGCCAUUCCCCUGGGGAAGGGAGGGUUUUUAUUUUUGAAGCACCGACCUAAAGCCUAGAAAAUUCAAGGACGAAGGAACUUUAGAGCGGUAUUAGGUUAAACAGUACACUUCUCCAAGGUUUGCUGGUGGAAGAAAUUACCUGGAGGUGGCAGCGUUACAAAUGCACAGUGCAGGCCACACCACAACAUUCGGAUUCAGAGGGGCCAGGGAGCCCGGGCAUCUGCAUUUGCACAAGCAUUUUGAGCCUGACACCGGUGGUGACCAACUGACUAGACACACUACCCUAUCUAACUCUGUCAUUUCACAAAUGAAUAAACUGAGGCCCAGAGGAGGUCCACCAGCCAAUUAGACACAGAACUGAAAUGCGGCCGUGAGGGCAGCUCCGGUCUUUUUCAGGCAACCAUCUGCCCUGGGCACAGACACCAGAGGUGAGAAGGAGGCCGUGUAACCAAGGCUUUCCCCUCCAGAAAUCCUGUUUGUGAGCUUAUGCUCAAUCAUGGACAACUUUUUCUUCUCUGGAGACCCAGCAAAUGCUCUGACACCUCUACCUAAGAUGUGUGCCACUGAAUAUUCUCAAAGUCUGCUCAGCUGGUAUCAGAUGAAGUCCCUGCCCGCUUUGCUCAUCUGUGCACUAGUUUAAACACGUAAGUCGGUGUGUUCUUUCUAAAGACUCUACCGGAGCCGGAGCCGUCUCAGGUGUCUGCAAAGAACUGCUGCCAUCCCCUCGCAAGUACAUGCCUGUUGGCUCACACAAAUGAAAGAAACAAAGCUGAAGACAAUAGAUUUUCACAUUUCAACAGACACUCUGGUGACUAACACGGGGAUGUCAUACUGCUCUAUGUUUUCAAGUAAAGACAUAAAACAUGACUGCCUGCUCUAGGAACCAUUUCA